rnacentral:ncRNA from 1 species
UUUAAAUUGUUGAUAAGGACAAAUAGUAAGUUAGUUUGACGUUUAGAGAGCCUUUGAUUGGUGAAAAAAGGUCGUCGCUAAGUUUAUGAACACACCUUAGAGAACUUUUCUGAAAUAUAAGUAAGUGAAGUCGGUGCACCCGUUAUCGUGAUGCAGUUUUGCUAUUAAGACUGCUUAGAGACCUAAUGGAAUAUUACUUAGGUGAACUUGAGGUGGGACCACGACAUAUGAUAUGCUCGUCCUCUUG